UGCCUCAGUAACGGCGAGUGAAGCGGCAACAGCUCAAAUUUGAAAUCUGGCCGCAAGGUCCGAGUUGUAAUUUGCAGAGGAUGCUUUUGGCGAGGUGCCUUCCGAGUUCCCUGGAACGGGACGCCAUAGAGGGUGAGAGCCCCGUACGGUCGUGCCACCGAGCCUCUGUAAAGCUCCUUCGACGAGUCGAGUAGUUUGGGAAUGCUGCUCUAAAUGGGAGGUGUACGUCUUCUAAAGCUAAAUACCGGCCAGAGACCGAUAGCGCACAAGUAGAGUGAUCGAAAGAUGAAAAGCACUUUGAAAAGAGGGUUAAAAAGUACGUGAAAUUGUUGAAAGGGAAGCAUUCAUGACCAGACUUGGGCUUGGUUGAACAUCCGGCGUUCUCGCCGGUGCACUCUGCCAGCUCAGGCCAGCAUCAGUUUGCCCCGGGGGAUAAAGGCGGUGGGAAUGUAGCUCCCCUCGGGGAGUGUUAUAGCCCGCCGUGUAAUGCCCUGGGGCGGACUGAGGUUCGCGCUUCGGCACGGAUGCUGGCGUAAUGGUCAUCAAUGACCCGUCUUGAAACACGGACCAAGGAGUCGUCUUCGUAUGCGAGUGUUCGGGUGUCAAACCCCUACGCGUAAUGAAAGUGAACGUAGGUGAGAGCUUCGGCGCAUCACCGACCGAUCCUGAUGUUCUCGGAUGGAUUUGAGUAAGAGCAUACGGGGCCGGACCCGAAAGAAGGUGAACUAUGCCUGUAUAGGGUGAAGCCAGAGGAAACUCUGGUGGAGGCUCGCAGCGGUUCUGACGUGCAAAUCGAUCGUCAAAUAUGGGCAU
rnacentral:rRNA from 1 species